rnacentral:rRNA from 2 species
GGCCCAGAUCGUUUACCGUGAAAAAAUUAGAGUGUUCAAAGCAGGCAGAUCCAAUUUUCUGCCACCGAAUACAUUAGCAUGGGAUAAUGGAAUAGGACCCUGUCCUCCUAUUUUCAGUUGGUUUUGGCAGCGCGAGGACUAGGGUAAUGAUUAAUAGGGAUAGUUGGGGGCAUUAAUAUUUAAUUGUCAGAGGUGAAAUUCUUGGAUUUAUGAAAGAUUAACUUCUGCGAAAGCAUCUGCCAAGGAUGUUUUCAUUAAUCAAGAACGAAAGUUAGGGGAUCGAAGACGAUCAGAUACCGUCGUAGUCUUAACCAUAAACGAUGCCGACCAGCGAUUAGGAGACGUUGAAUACAAAACACCACCAUCGGUGCGGUCGUCCUUGGCGUCGGUCUUUCGGGGCCGGCGCGGGGGCGGCUUAGCCCGGUGGCACCGGUGAAUGACUCCCCUAGCAGCUUGUGAGA